rnacentral:tRNA from 1 species
GCCCUGGUGGUCUAGUGGUUAAGAUUUAGCACUCUCACCACUGAGGCCCGGGUUCACUUCCUGGUCAGGGAA